rnacentral:tRNA from 1 species
AGGGUGAUAGUUAAAUAUAACAUUUGACUUGCAAUCAAAAAGUACUGAUAAAGUUUACCUUU